GACGAACGCUGGCGGCGUGCUUAACACAUGCAAGUCGAACGGUAAGGCCCUUCGGGGUACACGAGUGGCGAACGGGUGAGUAACACGUGGGUGAUCUGCCCUGCACUUCGGGAUAAGCCUGGGAAACUGGGUCUAAUACCGGAUAGGACUCCGGACUGCAUGGUCUGGGGUGGAAAGCUUUUGCGGUGUGGGAUGGGCCCGCGGCCUAUCAGCUUGUUGGUGGGGUGAUGGCCUCCCAAGGCGACGACGGGUAGCCGGCCUGGGAGGGUGACGGGCCACACGGGGACGGAGAUACGGCCCAGACUCCUACGGGAGGCAGCAGUGGGGAAUAUUGCACAAUGGGCGCAAGCCUGAUGCAGCGACGCCGCGUGAGGGAUGACGGCCUUCGGGUUGUAAACCUCUUUCAGCAUCGACGAAGCGAAAGUGACGGUAGGUGCAGAAGAAGGACCGGCCAACUACGUGCCAGCCGCCGCGGUAA
rnacentral:rRNA from 1 species